CUUCCACUUCGUCCUCCACAGCAUCUCUGGCCUGACAACUUCAAGAGUUAUUGAGUUUCUUCCUUCCUUCAAAGCUCAGCCUCAGACAGUCAUCCACCAUGAGAGCCCUUUAUCUUCUCGCUGCUGUUACCAUCCUCAUCUUCCAUUUUUCCCCAGGUUAUGCUCAAAACCCUUUCAGAGACCAGAUUAUGGCAUGCAAAUUUGACCUUGGUGGUUAUUGUUCAUCAGUUGAGUGUCCUGCACAUGCCCCCCGAAUGGGAUCUUGCCUAGGAGGAAACUGCUGUCAAAGGCCCGUAUCUGGUGCGCAGGGAUAGGUCCACUCACACAAGAAUUAGUCUGCUUUUUCCAGGAGAGACUUCAAAACUAUCUUGGCUGAUGACCACAUAAAGGAAAUUUCUACAAGUCCUAUCGCACUGGCCUGUGGCUUGAUUGCCAGUUCUUUCUCUACCAUUAUAACUCCACUUUACUUCCCAAAUUCUAUUACCUGGUGCAGGAGCCAAGACAAGAAUAUGCAUGCUUUCCCACCUCACAUGGAUGUGUUUUAAUGUUACCUAGGUCAUUUUUUGUGUGUGCACACUUCUUUGAAGUACCUCACAAAAGGCCAGUUUUCUAUUUUAUUCAUCCGAUUAAAAAUAAAGUAUAUGAACCUUG